GGAUGUGAGGGCGAUCUGGCUGCAGCAUCUGUCACCCCACUGAUCACCAGGCUUGAUGCAGCUGAUCUGGCUGGCUAGGCGGGUGUCCCCUUCCUCCCUCACUGUUCCAUGUGGUUCCCUCCCGAAGCUGCACGCUCAGUGGACAGGAGGAUGGCCUUCCCCAAUAGAGACAGACACGUCUUUGGUCGAGGGUAUACUAGUGUCUGUGCUCCCCUGCUAGUGCCUCCAAACAAGCUCUCAACGUCCAUUUCUUAGGUUACACUUUCUUAAUAGUGCCCUUUGACGUAAAGUUCUUAACUUUGAUGAAAUCCAAAAGUUGUCUUUUU
rnacentral:snRNA from 1 species